GCCGCCGUGGCCGGCCGGGACGGCGGGCGGCUCCCGGGGCCGCCCGGCUCGGGCACGUCGUCGAUCGGCCCGACGACGGUGGCCCC
rnacentral:tRNA from 1 species